CAGAGUAUACUCCAUUAAAGUUCCUCCAGUGCUUUAUGAUAUGAAGAAGUCUUGGAUUCUCAAACACUAUGGCAGUGGGAGCAUUUGAAGGAUGACCUGGAGAAGGGAGAGAAUAAUCAGGAGACUACAGACAAGAAGUGACAUGGAUCUGGAUGCUAUGAAAGGACCCACACAAGAACUCUUAUGGAGUGAAAGAGUUUUAGAGACAGAACCAUCUUGUAGAUUUUGCAAGUUUGGAAGAGCCAGCACGAUUUUCCAGUAGCUGAGCCCAGUGAGCAACAAGUUCUGAGGAGUGAUCUGUUUGACCUAGCUCAGCGAUGGACAGACCUGUCAUCCAAGAUGGGCAACUUUGAAGUAUAGAACUUUGGAUCUUUUGGGAAAGGUGCUUCCUAGAUUAAAGAAAAGUGAGAGAAUGGGGAUAACAGGAGGCAACCUGCUGAAGAAGAUGGGAUGGGAUGGAGGCCAUUUGUACACGUGGAAGGUUCACUUUGGAAAGUAAUGGAUUAUGGGAUUUCAUCUGAUUGACCUUCCCUACAGAAAUGUUGCAUCUCUCCCCAUUUGUGCCCACAUUUUCCAUUGAGGUUGGAGUGUUCAUGGGAUAAUGCACCCCAGAUUUUGGGAGGGCAUAUUUUGUAGCUGCUGUAUUACUAUGCCAUCUUAAUUAAAUUGAGUUAAUCAUAUCUACUGUCUAAUUGUUAAUGAGCACACCAAUGGCAACUUUUGAGUUGUAUAGUUUUAGCAGUGGGACCUGAAAAGUACUGUAGAACCUAAGAUAGUAGCUGUCCUUUGGCAAAUCAAGUCCAUGAAGUACAAAUUGGAGUAGUUCAGAGAGGGUGUUACACAUAAACUGAUAUCAAUCAAAGAAAAUCCAGGAAAACCAUGUACAUAUUGACUAUGACAGUGUAAAUAAAAAUGACAAUGAUAAUACAAUUG